UGGGGUGGGGUGGGGUGGGGAGCAGAGAGAGGGUGUCACGGGGCCACAGGAGCCCUUCACGUCACAGACCUCUGAUCUUCACAUACUAGGUAAAUAUUAUAUACACAUAAACACAUUUUAAUAUAAUACAUGCAUAAAAAAAGAGAAAAUAGCAUGACCCAAUUUACAUACCACCAGAUUUUAAAUCUUUAUAUUUUGCUAAAGUUCUUUUAGGCUCACAGACCACUGCUUGGAAUCUGUGGGUAUUCUUACAAAGCGGAUCAUAGUGUGAUAUCCAUAUAUUUUCAAUUUACCUAAAGGUACUGUGUUAUGCAUCCCAUCCUUCCUUCACUCCUCAGUGCUGUUUGUAAGAUCCAUCCGUGUGGCCACCUAUAUACAACCAACCUUUGCUUCUAACUGCCACCUGCACUCUGGGGUGGGAUCGAACACUUCUACUGACCCCUUCUUCCAGGAAGGAACAUUGAUGCUGCCUCGAACCACCAUGGAUAUGAAUGAUGGCAUCUACAUAUGUCCUCUGAGAGGCCUGUGUGAGGGUUUCUUUGGGGUGUACCCCCAGAGCAGCAUUGACGGCCCCAGUGCCGAGUGACCCUGACUGGUUGCAUUGGGCCAUCUUCCACUGUGCGGUCAGGAGACCCCACUUCACCACGCUGGGCCUCAGCCAGCCUCCAAAUGACACUGGCCUCAGAUUUGGAAGACAGAAGCAAAGGAGAGUCACAAAAGCCAGUUUUGUCACCCUGAGUCCUGCUAACUAGCUGACAGCCUCUGGCACACGCUGAUCUGGGGAUGCAGAGGAGGCCACAGGAGUGCCCAGGAGCCUGAAGAUGGAACAGAGAAAAUGGAGAAACCAGAGUAUGCGGGGUAGAGCUUGAUCAAUAGUUAAGAUCCUGUUUUCUCAACUAUCAAUCUACCCCUCAUAAAAUCGGCGUCAUCAGUUAACACAAAACCCAGGGUGUGGCUUUCAGACCCAAAGUCCCUACUCUGAUCUGUGAGUAUCCACAUGAUUCGGCCCCUGCCUACUUCUAAUGACUUCAUCCCUUACCACAUCCCUGUGACUUGCUACACUUGACCCAUACAAACAGGUGCACUUCAAUCUUAGGAAGCUCACACCAGCAGUCCCUUGGUUUGGAAGAUUC